UUUACAUCCUGUUUUAUAUUUAACCUCCUCACCAUAUUUCAUGCAACAUGAAUGCAUAUCAGCUGUUAAGUGGUCAGAUUUAGAAACCGUGGCACUCCACCUGUGGGAAAAACACAGCCAGCAAAAGGAAGAGCAAUGUACCUGUGGUUUCCUUCACUGCUAUGAAAAGGUGUCUACUCCAGGACUGGCAGAACUUUGCUUGCUGCAUUUAUCAUGGUGGGGUCAAGAUCUGGCUAUAGAGUAAGAAGGACAGAAAGAGUACUAGCUGGCAGAAGAUCUUGGGCUGUGACUGAGCUGCUAUUUAUUUUGUGGUGUAAGGCUGCUUUGCAAAACUUGGGAUAAAGCAACACUUUGCCACCCCAACUUCAUUUCAUGUACCAGAUCCCAAGGAAGGAACAGGAAUCUAUCUAAAAGAACAAAACAUAA